UACGUAGGGGGCAAGCGUUGUCCGGAAUUAUUGGGCGUAAAGAGCGCGUAGGCGGUCCGGUAAGUCGGUUGUGAAAGUCGGGGGCUCAACCCUCGGAUGCCGAUCGAUACUGCCGGGCUAGAGUCCGGAAGAGGCGAGUGGAAUUCCUGGUGUAGCGGUGAAAUGCGCAGAUAUCGGGAGGAACACCUAUGGCGAAGGCAGCUCGCUGGGACGUUACUGACGCUGAGACGCGAAAGCGUGGGGAGCAAACAGG
rnacentral:rRNA from 1 species